rnacentral:rRNA from 1 species
AGAGUUUGAUCCUGGCUCAGGACGAACGCUGGCGGCGUGCUUAACACAUGCAAGUCGAACGAAGUCUUCGGACUUAGUGGCGCACGGGUGCGUAACGCGUGGGAAUCUGCCCUUGGGUUCGGAAUAACAGUGAGAAAUUACUGCUAAUACCGGAUGAUGUCUUCGGACCAAAGAUUUAUCGCCCAAGGAUGAGCCCGCGUAAGAUUAGCUAGUUGGUGAGGUAAAGGCUCACCAAGGCGACGAUCUUUAGCUGGUCUGAGAGGAUGAUCAGCCACACUGGGACUGAGACACGGCCCAGACUCCUACGGGAGGCAGCAGUGGGGAAUAUUGGACAAUGGGCGAAAGCCUGAUCCAGCAAUGCCGCGUGAGUGAUGAAGGCCUUAGGGUUGUAAAGCUCUUUUACCAGGGAUGAUAAUGACAGUACCUGGAGAAUAAGCUCCGGCUAACUCCGUGCCAGCAGCCGCGGUAAUACGGAGGGAGCUAGCGUUGUUCGGAAUUACUGGGCGUAAAGCGCACGUAGGCGGCUAUUCAAGUCAGAGGUGAAAGCCCGGGGCUCAACCCCGGAACUGCCUUUGAAACUAGAUAGCUUGAAUCUUGGAGAGGCGAGUGGAAUUCCGAGUGUAGAGGUGAAAUGCGUAGAUAUGUGGAGGAACACCAAUGGCGAAGGCAGCCCCCUGGGAUAACACUGACGCUCAUGCACGAAAGCGUGGGGAGCAAACAGGAUUAGAUACCCCGGUAGUCC